AAGAGAGCAACAGAAGAAAAGUAUAGAACCUCGUGUCACCAACUGCUUUCUGUGGAGAGGGGGAUGGAGCUGGAGCUGAGAUGGAGGCAGCAGAAUGGGCAAACCUUCAGUCCUAACAACCUGCCUGCCCUAGCCUCCACACUUUUCCUUAAAAAAAAAUGUAUAUAAUUUAUAAUAUAGGCAGCUCUUUCAGGAUCUCUCACCAUCCCUGAGCCCUCUAAAAACUGUAAUUGAUGGGGGUGGGAUGUAUAGAUAUGAAUGUUCUAGAGCAGAAAAACCGGGGGCUAGAAGUGUACCUCAAUAAACCUCAAAUGGGAACAAAUUUGAGGUUUUGGGAAAGUUGGAAGGGAACGUGUUUUGUGCCUUUUGGGUUUGAAAUGUGUUUUCUUAUUUUUUAAAGGAUAAUUGAGGAAAAAAAAAAAUCAAGAUUUGGGGGGAAUUACCUACAAAGAUGUAAGGUGUGUUAAUUUGGGCGCUUCUUGGAUUCUACCCUGAGGAGGAGGCGCGUGGUGAGAGGAGAGAUCUUGAUCUGCCGCUCGCUGAGGUUCAGCAGGUUGGCCAUCUCUACACGGCGAGGCCGGCACAGGUAGCGGUUAAAAUGGAACUCCU
rnacentral:lncRNA from 1 species